GUUUGAAUGAUGACUUGGAUUGUCGGAUCCCCCUUCACCCGCAUCAUGGGUGAGACAGAACAGCCUGACAAAC